AAGAAGACAAACUAUGGAUUUUCGUGUCCAACUUUGACUGUCUGUCUUAUAUAAAAUUUUUUUAUAAUUUGUAUUUUCAUUGUUGUUAGAUGAUUAAACAUGAUUAAUAUUUUAUGCGUGACUUGUCUUUUUAAUUUUUUUCAUAAUUUUUUCAAAUAAAACGGACGGUCAAAUGUUGGAUACGGAAACCAAGGUUUGUCUUUUUU
rfam:Oryza glumipatula chromosome 12, whole genome shotgun sequence.